rnacentral:tRNA from 1 species
CCUCUCGUAGUUUAAUGGAUAGAACACAGGCCUCCGAAGCUUGCAAUGCAGGUUCGAUUCCUGCCGAGAGGA